UAAAGCGCAAUUGAAUGCUCGCAUGAGGGGAAAGAUCUAAUGCGCAAUUUCCCCAUUUUGAAAGAAAAGGCGCAGAUCCGGCUUGCUAAUUGGGUUGAUGCGCCGAUCCUUACAGCUGUGAACGGCUUCGUUUUUUUAACAAAUGAUUUAAAACCCUUUUUCCUUAUUUUCUUUUCCAAAUACAGCCAACCUUUUAACAAAAAUCUGUAGCCCUAAAAUCAGUUUGCUAGGGCUUCAUUUUAGCAACCGCCGAAUCACCAUUCCAUUUGGUGGUCGAUGGUACAUCAGCUGUGACCAAGUUUUGCCAACGAAAGCCAUGCUCGAAAAGAUUUGGAGUGGUUGUAAGGAGAAGAUGACCCUGGUGACGUGAAGGCCGCGCGUGGGGAUCUCACAUGGGAAACCGACCCUAUGGUGCUAUUCUAGUGUAUUCCAAAAGCUUCUAGAGCUCUCAGUCUGUUGAACUUUGGGUUCUUUUUGGGUUUCGAAUUUGGGCCAUCUGAAGUCGGGAAAUUGGGUUUAAAAAAUGUAUCUGGGCUGGUAUAAACUUAGCUUUUAACUUAGUUUAUUAUUUGGGCCUGAUGGUUUGUAAAGACUUGGACUUUAAGGAAUUAUUAUGUAUUUAUUUUUAAUUUA